UACGUAGGGGGCUAGCGUUGUCCGGAAUUAUUGGGCGUAAAGAGCGUGUAGGCGGUUCGAUAAGUCUGCUGUAAAAGUCGGGGGCUCAACCCUCGAAGGCCGGUGGAUACUGUCGAGCUAGAGUACGGAAGAGGCGAGUGGAAUUCCUGGUGUAGCGGUGGAAUGCGCAGAUAUCAGGAGGAACACCAAUUGCGAAGGCAGCUCGCUGGGACGUUACUGACGCUGAGACGCGAAAGCGUGGGGAGCGAACAGG
rnacentral:rRNA from 1 species